GACGAACGCUGGCGGCGUGCUUAACACAUGCAAGUCGAACGGAAAGGCCCUGCUUUUGUGGGGUGCUCGAGUGGCGAACGGGUGAGUAACACGUGAGUAACCUGCCCUUGACUUUGGGAUAACCUCAGGAAACUGGGGCUAAUACCGGAUAGGAGCUCCUGCUGCAUGGUGGGGGUUGGAAAGUUUCGGCGGUUGGGGAUGGACUCGCGGCUUAUUAGCUUGUUGGUGGGGUAGUGGCUUACCAAGGCUUUGACGGGUAGCCGGCCUGAGAGGGUGACCGGCCACAUUGGGACUGCGAUACGGCCCAGACGCCUACGGGAGGCAGCAGUGGGGAAUAUUGCACAAUGGGCGGAAGCCUGAGGCAGCAACGCCGCGUGCGGGAUGACGGCCUUCGGGUUGUAAACCGCUUUCGCCUGUGACGAAGCGUGAGUGACGGUAAUGGGUAAAGAAGCACCGGCUAACUACGUG
rnacentral:rRNA from 1 species